rnacentral:rRNA from 1 species
UGAAUACGAGAUGCUACGGCGUCGAAGCAGUCUAUGUCAUACUUCCAAGAAAAGCUUGCACUGUCAUAAACAAAUAAUGCCUGUACCAUAACCGACACAGGUGGGUAGGUAGAGUAUACUAAGGGGCGCGAGAUAACUCUCUCUAAGGAACUCGGCAAAAUGACUCCGUAACUUCGGGAGAAGGAGUGCCUUAUUUAUAAGGUUGCAAUAACAAGAUCCAAGCAACUGUUUAUCAAAAACACAGGUCUCCGCUAAGUCGUAAGACGAUGUAUGGGGGCUGACGCCUGCCCAGUGCCAGAAGGUUAAAGAAGUUGGUUAGUGUAUGCGAAGCUGAUGACUGAAGCCCUGGUGAACGGCGGCCGUAACGAUAACGGUCCUAAGGUAGCGAAAUUCCUUGUCGGGUAAGUUCCGACCCGCACGAAAGGCGUAAUGAUUUGGAUACUGUCUCGGAGAGAGGCUCGGUGAAAUAGACUUGUCUGUGAAGAUGCGGACUACCUGCACCAGGACAGAAAGACCCUAUGAAGCUUUACUGUAACUUGAAAUUGGAAUUGGACUUUGCUUGCGCAGUAUAGGUGGGAAGCGUUGAAGAUAUUCUUGCGGGAGUAUUGGAGCUAUCAGUGAGAUACCACUCUUGUAAUGUUAGAUUUCUAACUUUGAACCAUAAUCUGGUCAAAGAACAGUUUCAGGUGGGCAGUUUGACUGGGGCGGUCGCCUCCCAAAUGGUAACGGAGGCGUACAAAGGUUUCCUCUGAACGGAUAGAAAUCGUAUCUAGAGUGUAAAAGCAUAAGGAAGCUUGACUGUGAGACCUACAAGUCGAGCAGGGACGAAAGUCGGUCUUAGUGAUCUGACGGUACUGAGUGGAAAGGCCGUCACUCAACGGAUAAAAGUUACUCUAGGAUAACAGGCUGAUCUCCCCCAAGAGUUCACAUCGACGGGGAGGUUUGGCACCUCGAUGUCGGCUCAUCGCAUCCUGGGGCGGUAGUACGUCCCAAGGGUUGGGCUGUUCGCCCAUGAAAGCGGUACGCGAGCUGGGUUCAGAACGUCGUGAGACAGUUCGGUCCAUAUCCGGUGUAGGCGUUAGAAUAUUGAGAGGAGCCUUCUUUAGUACGAGAGGACCGAGAAGGACACACCGCUGGUGUACCAGUUAUCGUGCCAACGGUAAACGCUGGGUAGCUAUGUGUGGAGUGGAUAACCGCUGAAAGCAUCUAAGUGGGAAGCCCACCUCAAGAUGAGUAUUCCC